rnacentral:rRNA from 1 species
AAACUUACCAGGUCAAGACAUGGGCGUGAUUGACAGGCUAAUGACUUUUCUCGAUUCCAUGGAUGGUGGUGCAUGGUCGCACUUAGUUGGUGCAGUGAUUUGUCAGGUUUAUUCCGGUAACGAACGAGACCUCGGCCUUGUAAAUAGCUAUGCUGCUUACAGGGACAUUGGCGGCUACGCCAAGGAAGCUCGAGGCAAUUGCAGAUCUGGAAUGCCCUUAGAUGUCCUGGGUCGCACGCGUGCUACAAUGACGCCACGAACGAGCUUGCGUGAUGAAAGUUACGCAUAAUCAGCAGUCGGCGUCUUAAGGGAUAGUCUCUUGUAACUGUGGGACUCCAACUAGGAAUGUCUCGUAAGCACAAGUCAACAUCUUGUGUUGAUUACGUCCCUGCUCUUUGUACACACCGCCCGUCGCUCCUACCGAUCGAGUGUUUAGGUGAAUUUGAUGGACGUAAGGAAGUCAAAUAAACCUGAGCACUAGAGAAGAGAAGUCGAGAUGU